UUUGCUGGGGGAGCCUUUUGGCUGAGAAAGUAGAACUUGACCCUUUGAACUUGACAUGGUUAGUACCAUCGUAGGGAAGCAAUUUUAUU
rnacentral:ncRNA from 1 species